GUUCUUUUCUUUUCUUUUCCUUUUUUGCUGCUUACCUCUUUGUAUAUAAAGCCUCUUCUAGCAAGAGAAAGUAAUCAAUUUUCUUUCCUACAUUUCGCGAUUCCUUUUCUGUUAUGGUAUCAGAGCUCUUCUGCUUCCAUAAUCGUUCUCUGUCUUCUCAGUAAUUUUUCUUCUCCUUCCUUUCUUUUUUCAAUGGCAAAUCAACCUGUUGUUGCCGUGAAUCAAGUCAAUGAUUACUUGCAGAAUCCAUCCAAUCCAUACUACCUUCAUUCGAAUGAGAAUCCGUCUCUUGUACUCGUGUCCACUCUUCUCAAUGAGAAGAACUAUCAUCAUUGGGCUCGUGCCAUGAAAAUGGCAUUAUUAUCCAAAAAUAAAUACAGAUUUGUUGAUGGAACUCUACCAGCACCGCCGAUUGCGGAUCCGAUGCGCGUUGCUUGGCAAAGAUGCAACACAACAGUUUCAUCCUGGAUUACAAGAUCCUUAUCUCCCUCCAUCGCACAGAGUAUCAUAUGGAUUGAUUCAGCAGCUGAGAUCUGGAAAGAUCUUCAAGAAAGGUUUUCACAGGGAGACAUUUUCAGAAUUUCAGAUCUAGGAAGAAAAAUAUGCAUUCAAACAAGGUGAUCGUACUGUCACUGAAUAUUUUACAGAACUCAAGAUACUAUAUGAUGAGUUAAUGAAUUUCAGACCUAUACCUGUUUGCACAUGCACUGAUCCUUGUGCUUGUGGUGCUGUGACAAAAUUUACUACAUAUCAGAAAAAUGACUAUGCAAUUCGCUUCCUUAAAGGACUGAAUGACAGAUUCACUCAUGUUAGAUCUCAAAUCAUGCUUAUAGAUCCUUUGCCUUCCAUAAAUAAAGUUUUCUCACUAGUUGUAUAGCAAGAGAGACAAUUGGAUCUUGGUGAAAAUGUGAAGGUAUUUGUUAGUGCAAAGGCAUCAAAUCUUGAAGGAAACUCUCAAAGAGCAAUUAGUUUUAAUCAGUCACAGAACAGAAAUGCUUUCUACAGAAAUCCUUCUAGCAAUGCAAAGGUGUGCACCUACUGUGGAAAGCAGAGGCAUACUGUAGAUACAUGCUACAAGAAACACGGAUUCCCUCCUGGUUUUAAGUUUAGAAACUCAUCUAUCAAUCAUAUUGCAAUGCAUGAUGCUGCUAAAACAAAUGAAAGUGUACAAUCGUAUCAGAUGACGGCAAUUGUAAGUUCUGGUGGAUCAUCUGCUCCUUUUACUCAAGAACAUGUAUUUCCAUACUCAGACUUAUGCAGCAAUGAGGUUAUUAUCCACCAUGAGCAUUCUGAUCUUGACUAUUCUGAUUCUCUUCAAUUUCCUAGUUUUGUUGAUAUUCAUGAGUCUCCUUCUGCCACUGAGUCUUCUUCUACUAUUGAGUCUCGGUUAGUUCCUGAGUCUCAUAGUGAGUCUUCAAUUCCUCUCACAAGAGUCUCUCAAAGAAUAAAGAAAUCACCUACUUAUUUACAAGAUUAUCAUUGCAAUUUAACAUCUUCAAACUUCAAUAGGUCCCAAUCUCCUACUGUCCUUUAUCCUUUAUCUUCUGUCAUUUCAUAUGAUUCUUUGUCACCAUCACACUUGCACUUUACUCUAAGCAUUUCUACUAGUACUGAACCCAAAAAUUAUACAGAAGCUGUUAAAUCUGAGGAGUGGAGAAAAGCUAUGGCUACUGAGAUUUCUGCCUUGCAGCAAAAUCAAACAUGGUUGUUGGUAGAUUUGCCUAUAAAUAAGAGUCCCAUUGGCUGUAAAUGGGUGUACAAAAUUAAACAAAAGGCCGAUGGCAGCAUUGAGAGGUACAAGGCUAGAUUAGUAG
rnacentral:lncRNA from 1 species